AAACGCUUACCUAUGACAAUGAUUUUGAGGAAAUUUCUCAGUUGGUGAGGAUAUCGAUAUGAAUCUGCCAUCUCACGACAACAGUGGGUUGAUAUAAAUGUGAAUGAAGUCGUGGUAGUUGUCACAGUUCCACACUCACCAACAAGAAACAAGUUGUACGAGUACCUUCAUCACCACCAACAAUCAUGAAGAUCGCCAUUUUGUUUCUCAUCUGCGCUGUCCUCGGUUCUAUGGUGUUACCGAGUGAGGCGUGGCACCACCACGGGGGGUGCUGUAAGAAGUGCGGUCACUGCGGUCACGGCUCGUGUUGCUCCAAGUGCAAGUCGUGUGGCUCGUGCAAGUCGUGUGGCUAUGACUAGUGCCGCCGUCGCCGCCGUCACACACACAGUCGUCAGUCACGUGGAGUGUUGUGUUGCAACCAUCUCAUCUUCAGCUGUGAAUACGCCACGUGGCAGGGGAGAUAACCCUACUUCAUUUUGUAAUCCGCAUCUCGGUUU